UGGGACACAACUUUCAUUCCCAAGGUUAUCAAUGAGGCCAAACACCUGACUCAGUCAUUUGAGUUGUGCCACCUUCUAAAUGCUGCUGAGAAACUGACAGAAAACGAUGACACCACCUGGGACAGUGACAUGGCUUCUCUGCUGUUGCUCUUCUGUCUCUUGCCACCCACAGCUGUACAGAAGAGGACCAAUAUAAGCCCCGGUGAUGCAGUGGACAAAAUGUUGCACUUUCACAAGUCAUGCUGCAGCUUGGAUGAACACCUUAGGAGAAGAGAUGGUAGACAACCAGACAUCCUUGCUGUUGGAUUGACACUUUCUACAUUGUUGUGGACAAACAGCUCAUCCCCUGCCAAGCCACUAGCUCGUUGGGUGCAUUUUAUGAACUGUUUAAAUCCCACUACUUGUUCAACCUGUCAUACGAUAAGUCCUUGGCAACUCUUUACCUUCGUGCAAAUCACAACCAGAGUCUGAGUGUUUUGAGGACAAUGAAUCAGGCCAAAGAAACAAAGAAAUGAUAGAAAAUAUUUGUGCAUCAAUUAUUGCUAAACUACAAGGAAGUGACAUAGCAAAUAGUGUUUCAUCAGUUGUUGGUGAUUUGGAAGAUCUUGCUAGUGGACUGCACUCUCAGGUUAAGCAGCAGGUACUCUAAUGUGCCUUAAGAUAAUCCUGAAAGAGCUCCAUUGGAAAAGAUCUGCAGACUUUUGAAAACCCAUUUAUUAACUUCAGUACUGAAAAUAAAAACUG